UUAUAAAGUUUUUACUUAAAAAAAUUGCAAAUACUAAAACUUUACCCGUUUAUUUAGUGUCAAACAAUCAGUCACGGCCAAUUCAAUUCUACAUUGCAUAAACAGAAUAGUUUUUUCUUUACGUUUUAUUUCCAGCUAAAUAAAAUAUUGAACAAAACGGACAAAGUUGAAAGAAAAAUAUAUAGUUAUUCUACCAAUCCAAAGAGAACUUGUUACCUCCUGAAAUAUCCCAUCAAUGGUCUACCAGAUAGAGAACUUCCUACUAUUGGAAACAGUUUAUGGUUCUAAUACUUUUGACAACUUAAUAUCUUUGAAAAUUUGACUACUUUCUACUUAUAUCUGCAGUCAUACAAAAGCCAUAAAUUCAAGAGCUGCAAGGAAAAUAUGGGUUGUCCUCAGAAAAACGGUGGAUUUGAUUUGCAAAGUCAGGGUGGAUUUGUUUGGAAAGACAACAACUGUGACAGGGAGGAUGGAAAUAACUGUGUGGUGAAAGAAGUUCAGAGAGUUUGAAAGAGAGCAGGAUUUGGAGGAGCAAUUCAAACUGGUUCAGUCAUAAGAUUUUACGAACUUUGACGAUUUCCAGGAAAUAUUGGAGCAAUUAAUGAAACUUAUCCUAUAACAAGUCCUGAGGCAGAAAUUGCAGAAAUGGAUCAAAACAGAAAAGGACAUUUUUCUUUGAACUGCCAAAUAAUUAAAGGUCUUUCAAAAGAACUUUUUUCUGCUUGUAUUUAAUGGACUAAAUGUGUUCACGGAUCACAAGAUUUUACCAACUCAACUAAACAGGUUUUAGAAGCUUAUCUGCACGUCUAUGUUAUAGGGGACAACACCCCAUAUUGUCAGCACUGGUGUGACCAUGGAAUAUUGUUUGGGAAUUUAUUUGCAAUACGCUUUACAAAUGAAACCAAAAAAUUUUAUAGACAUUGUAUCAUGCUUUGAUCACAACAUUGCCUUUUAACAAAAUGAUCUUUAGGUAAACGAUUAAAUGUAUAAUUGUAACGAGGAAAAUGGAUCCAAGGCAUCGACGAGAGGUUUUGUAGGGAAAAUUAGAGUAGUGACUCGAUUCUUUUUAUAAAUACUUAACUUAUCAAAUAAUAAAAGCAAAAACUAAUAACAAUAGUAGCAUCAACAAAGAAAAUCUUUUUUAUUGACAAAAUAAAUAAAGAACUCAAUCUGAAAUCCUUAUAUUUGUGUUUAUUAAAAUUGGUGUAUUAAUAUGUAAGGGGUUAACCAUUAAUUACGUCAACAAAAUAGGGGGAGGGGGUCUGACCUUUUUCGACAA